AUUGAACGCUGGCGGCAGGCCUAACACAUGCAAGUCGAGCGGGGUUUUCGGACCUAGCGGCGGACGGGUGAGUAAUGCGUAGGAAGCUACCCGAUAGAGGGGGAUACCAGUUGGAAACGACUGUUAAUACCGCAUAAUGUCUACGGACCAAAGUGUGGGACCUUCGGGCCACAUGCUAUCGGAUGCGCCUGCGUGGGAUUAGCUAGUUGGUGGGGUAAUGGCUCACCAAGGCGACGAUCCCUAGCUGGUUUGAGAGGAUGAUCAGCCACACUGGAACUGAGACACAGUCCAGACUCCUACGGGAGGCAGCAGUGGGGAAUGUUGGACAAUGGGCGCAAGCCUGAUCCAGCCAUGCCGCGUGUGUGAAGAAGGCCUUCGGGUUGUAAAGCACUUUCAGUAGGGAGGAAGAGUUGAGUGUUAAUAGUACUCAGCUUUGACGUUACCUACAGAAGAAGCACCGGCUAACUCUGUGCCAGCCGCCGCCGUAAAAC
rnacentral:rRNA from 1 species